CUCAAUUGAUGUUGCUUUCUUAUCCAUAGCUGUGAGAAGAAGGCUGAGUUAUAUUCAUCUCUGCUGCUGGCUUUGGAUGAACUGGACAAGAAUUACAGCACCAUGAGAAAGGAAAUAAACAUGGGCACGCCUUUAAAUGAACUUCCACCACUGUCAGUUGAGCUGAAGUUUCCCCCCCUCUCUUCCUUCUACAUUGCCUCCAAGUUUUUCAGAAAGAUUCUUUACUCUGAGCAGGUACAUGACAGAACACGUUCAGCGACCCCAUCCAGUGACUCUCUGUAAGUGGAGAUGAAAACAAAUCUGGCAGUAAGUUUUUACUGAACUGGGUUAACUGCCAGACACUGCUUGAAGUUUCCUGUUGAGCAUGAGUGAAGUUAAUCAAGAAAAAGCAAAGGCAGUUGUUUUGUUUUGUAAAAAUUAGUCAAAGUUGCACAGGUGUUUUAAAUUGUAAGGAAUACAUCUGAACAUCACACAGAAAACCAUUAAGAUAUAAUGAAAAUAGCCAAAAUGUAUUAAUUAUGUUAAUUUUACUGUGAGCUUCUGGAAAUAUUUGAAUUACUGUAGAACUUAAAAUUGUUGUCCCAUAUUUUGUAUGAAAUUCUUGGAUGUGUUUUAGUGAUCUUUCAGGUGAAGGGAAAGCUGACUUUGAAGAACCAAAACAGCAAGAAAAGGGGAUUUCUGUCAAUAUGGACAACUCACAGACUGAUGGUGAUCAGCCAGGUGAUUCUGCUUCCCCUGAGAGGUGGGAAGAACUGAUUAAAGAUCAGGCUCUGGAACGUGGCUGUGUAAAAAAUGAGGAAGGAAGUGAGUAUUGGUUUGAUGCUAAGGAAGACUUGUCAGCGGCAGAUAUUUCAGUAAUGUGCAAAGAAAUGAAAAAGCAACAAGGAAAGCAAGACUCGAUUGACUCAAGAGAAGUGAAGAUAGUGGUGAGUGGGAAGGAACAUUCCUCUGUUCCUGUCAGUGACCCAAAGCCCUCAGUGCCUGAGGAUCCUGGCGAAAAUUCCCUGCAGAAAACAUCCACUUGUUCCUCUGUGAAGUCAUCUUGUAUCUUUGUUUCUCCUUAUGCACUGAACUUGAGCAGCUUUACCAAGUUAGUAAGGAGACUUCAAGAAAAGCAUCCCGAGUUCAGCAGAGCUGAAAUUGUGGGGGCUGUGCAGGAGGUGAGGAGAAUGAACAAAGGAGUGCUGAGUGGCCUGGCCAUCAGUGCUAUUGAGGAGAAGGCCUCUGCCAUUCUGAGGAGUUCCACACCCUACUCUCAGUUGGAGGAGCCCUGAGAAAGGCCCAAAGUUCUGAGUGCUCCCUGCAUUUUGGAUUCCAACAUCUGGAGUGCUUCGCUGCUGAACUGUGUGGAGAGCACAGUCACACACCUUCGGUGCACAGCUGACACCUACCGGCCAGGCCUUGUGUAGCCUCUGAUCCAUCCAGAAAUCCCAGCCCUGGCUCCCUUCUGCAUCCCAGCACUGAUGGUUCCUGUCUGGGGGCUCCUUUCUGCAUCCCAGCACUGAUGGUUCCUGUCUGGGGGCUCCUUUCUGCAUCCCAGCACUGAUGGUUUCUGGGCUGGAAACCUGACACAACCAGACUGUGCCUAGUCUUUUUCUCACACCAAUCCCUUUUGCACAAUCUCAUGGCACUGCAGGAAGCUGCAGCGAGCUGAAGGUGUGAAAUCACAGCCCAGAAUCCCAAAAAUUGUGUCUGUCCAUCCUUGCUUUGGGUACCUCCUAGCAGUGCCACUGCCAGGUUUCCUGCAGAAAGGAAAAAGUCUUUGUGUUAAUCUCCUGUCUGACUUUCACAGGGCUGCAGAUAGGGACAGGAACUCACCCCCGAAAUGUUAAAAUCUUAUGUUUGAAAGCGUUUUCAGUCAGUAAGGUUUUAACAGCCUUGAAAUGUGUUGUGCUUUCCUUGUGGAGUGAUUGUUAGGUUUUCCAGUGGUGCGUGGGCUCCGUAGUCCUAAUUGUUCCUAUUACAGUAUGUUUUUCCUGCUGUUUUUGUAUGGGAGAUGAUGACUUAUAAUAAUUUUAUUUUCCUCAUGAGGGAGGUGUGAAAUGGCCAAGUCAUUACUAAAUAAUGGGGAGAAAAAGAAUCCCCAUUUUCUAUAUUAAGGAACAAGUACACAAUACAUGUAAGAGAAGGUGAUUCUGCUCAGAGCUCACCUACAGUUACUCAGUCUCUCUGUUGUACUUUGUUCUAGACCCUGCUGCAAUUGUUGCUGGAAAGAACAGCCUUGUUUACUGUCAAUAAAGGUUAACAUUUGUUCUUCA
ensembl:lncRNA